rnacentral:lncRNA from 1 species
AUGAAGUUUAAAAAAUCUUUCAAUCCACUUAGAAUCAACACCAAACUAAACGCUGUUUUGAAUCUAGAAAUGCGAAAGUUUCCAAUAAUAUUGUUCUAGCUUCUACGAUAAUGUUCGUUAGUUAUUAUAAUUUAUGUAACGCGUUUAUGUGCGCUUUUUGGCUUCAUCUCGCUGUUUGAAGCGGAGCCUGAAAUUCUGUGGAGAUAUUCGAUAUGUCUAUCUAAUAUAUAUGUCGGAGACUGUCAUUAGUACGGACACUAAACGUCACGCAAGCGCGCCCUCUGGUGGCGUUUCCGGUGAAACAACAUUUUGGCGCGCUUGGCAGAGUAGUGGUGGUCGGCGUGGCGUCCGCGGAGCUCAGUCUUGGUCGAGUCGUCGUGCUGCGCACAUCUCGAUACUGCCUUUCGUUACGUGUAGUGUACCUAGUGUUAUUGCCUAGUGUUGUAGUACUGUUGUAGAUCCAUAUUGUAAAGUGUGUAAAGUGUCUUUUGAAAUUAAAGUGUAAAGGUUCUUCUAACCUAACAGACAGACAUGUGUUGCUGGGGAGUUUGUUCCGCCACUUCUUCUCCCCAAGCCAAAACACAUAGGAAGUGGCGAAGGGUGGGCGUUUUGGGGGCUGUCUUUUGUUCUGACUAAUUUGAAUAAACGUUUGAGUUUUGAGUUUGUU